rnacentral:rRNA from 1 species
GAUGAACGCUGGCGGCGUGCCUAAUACAUGCAAGUCGAGCGAACAGACGAGGAGCUUACUCCUCUGACGUUAGCGGCGGACGGGUGAGUAACACGUGGAUAACCUACCUAUAAGACUGGGAUAACUUCGGGAAACCGGAGCUAAUACCGGAUAAUAUAUUGAACCGCAUGGUUCAAUAGUGAAAGACGGUUUUGCUGUCACUUAUAGAUGGAUCCGCGCCGCAUUAGCUAGUUGGUAAGGUAACGGCUUACCAAGGCAACGAUGCGUAGCCGACCUGAGAGGGUGAUCGGCCACACUGGAACUGAGACACGGUCCAGACUCCUACGGGAGGCAGCAGUAGGGAAUCUUCCGCAAUGGGCGAAAGCCUGACGGAGCAACGCCGCGUGAGUGAUGAAGGCCUUCGGAUCGUAAAACUCUGUUAUUAGGGAAGAACAAAUGUGUAAGUAACUAUGCACGUCUUGACGGUACCUAAUCAGAAAGCCACGGCUAACUACGUG